rnacentral:rRNA from 1 species
ACGGGUGAGUAACGCGUGGGAACAUACCCUUUGGUUCGGAAUAACUGAGAGAAAUUUCAGCUAAUACCGGAUGUGCCCUUCGGGGGAAAGAUUUAUCGCCAAAGGAUUGGCCCGCGUCUGAUUAGCUAGUUGGUGAGGUAACGGCUCACCAAGGCGACGAUCAGUAGCUGGUCUGAGAGGAUGAUCAGCCACACUGGGACUGAGACACGGCCCAGACUCCUACGGGAGGCAGCAGUGGGGAAUAUUGGACAAUGGGGGCAACCCUGAUCCAGCCAUGCCGCGUGAGUGAUGAAGGCCUUAGGGUUGUAAAGCUCUUUCGUCAGGGAAGAUAAUGACGGUACCUGAAGAAGAAGCCCCGGCUAACUUCGUGCCAGCAGCCGCGGUAAUACGAAGGGGGCUAGCGUUGUUCGGAAUUACUGGGCGUAAAGCGCACGUAGGCGGACAUUUAAGUCAGGGGUGAAAUCCCAGGGCUCAACCCUGGAACUGCCUUUGAUACUGGGUGUCUUGAGUACGAGAGAGGUGAGUGGAAUUCCGAGU